GGGAGCCGUGUGAUGGGUGACUAUCCAGCACGGUUUGGAGAGAACUUUUAGUCUGUGGUGGUGAUGGAAGCCCCCCUAUCAAGAUACAAGGAAGCGUCUCUUCCCAUGAUGGAUUUACCAUUGACUCUAU
rnacentral:ncRNA from 1 species